AUGUGAUGAUACCCAUAGAUGACGAGUCAGAUUUCCGGUUUCCGGAUGACGAUAAACACUUUUUUAAUACCAUUCAUGCUUCACUGAUU
rfam:Cyberlindnera jadinii strain CBS1600 genome assembly, contig: CJ4